GUCCUGGCCGUAAACGUUGGGCACUAGGUGUUGGAGGCAUCGACCCCUCCAGUGCCGCAGCUAACGCAUUAAGUGCCCCGCCUGGGGAGUACGGCCGCAAGGUUGAAACUCAAAGGAAUUGACGGGGGCCCCGCACAAGCGGUGGAGCAUGUGGUUUAAUUCGACGCAACGCGAAGAACCUUACCCAGACUUGACAUGCACGGGACCGGUGUUGAAAGACACCUUCCCUUCGGGGCUCGUGCACAGAUGCUGCAUGGCUGUCGU
rnacentral:rRNA from 1 species